CCCAGAGUUAUUCAGGCUCUGGUGUCAUCGCUAGCACCUUCCAGGAUGUCUCUGAGGCCCCACCACUUCGUAUGGCCUGUACAAGUCAUCACACAGUCAGUAUAACUCCUGGGUGUUACUCUCAGGAUGGAACUCAUUGUGUACAGGCCUGGUGCCAUGGCAACCACCCUCACAGACAUACACCGAUGGCCACAUCAGGCCUGGUGACAACAGCCUGCACUGUGUGUCACAGAACCGCACUGUGGAGGCCACUCCUUCUCCACCCUGGGGCCCAUUCCACAAAGGAUCCCCUUCAGGAGAUCUGUGAAGCCAAGGACAGCUACGGCAGGUCCCUGAGAACAGCAGUGCGGCGCUCACCUGCCCAGCUCACGUCUGAAGAGGGGCAGCCUGGAAGGGCCCUCCAGGGAUUUCCAGGCUGGUCUGCAGUCCAGUGAGUCAGCCUCCCUCCUGGGUCCAGCCUGGGAGCCCUGCCUGGGAAGUCCAGCCAGCAGCAAGGGCCCCUUCUUGGGAUAUGGGGUGGUGCUGUCUGCACCAUUGGGACUCAGAGCACCCACGUCUGCAGAUCUUGUUUGAAAUGGUGCAGGCUGGGGUUUGUCUUUGUUAUUAAUUUGCUGUACAUUUGGCUGCACUUAGCUGUAUAGCUUUCUUUCCUCCAUUUCUCCCCACUCUUCUCUUUUGCCUGAAGUUUUAAGAACCAAGGACUUUCUAGUCUGUAUUUGUGCAUUCAGACUGCAAUGUGGUACAGACUGCCAGAGCCAUAGGAUGCAUCUUCUUGAAGCUUCAGCUCUAAGUAGAUACGAAAUAUGAAAUCAUAUUUUAUGUUGAAAGAUGUGGAUUUCUAAUUAGCACAAAUGGAAGAUCUCCGUAGGUAUUGACAAAGCAUGAGAGCUCGAAGAGGCCUUUGCCUUGUGGAAGGUCUUGAGCCUAACCCUCUGAGUGCUGGCUCUGCUUCCCCUGGAAGAUGUUGAUGCAGAAGUUUGAGACGAACUCCUAGGACUCGCUGACCCUUGGCCUUGGCCAUCUCUAUAGCUGUUCUUGGAAAACAGUGAUUUCUUGUGACCAUUUGCUCAGCCAAACUGGGAGGCAGAGAUGUGCAGAAAGUUAGCACAUUAAAGACCUAUGAAGUUUCAGACACAGCUAUUCAUGCUCGCUGUUCCCACCAUGGUGAGUCAUGCCGAUUUGCCACUAUAAGAAAACUACAGGUGGCACAGAGACACGGAUGCAUCACCUCGUCUUCACAUUGAGAACCAGGUUCCUUCAACGUGGUUCAACUUCUCUGCACUAACCUGAGCAAGUACAUUCACAAAUAAUCCAAAAGUGUGUAUUAAUUUUUUUGACAGGCAGAGUUAGACAGUGAGAGAGAGAGACAGAGAGAAAGGUCUUCCUUCCGUUGGUUCACCCCCCAAGUGGCCACUAUGGCCAGCGCACUGUGGCCGUUCUGCUGCGUCGAUCUGAAGCCAGGAGCCAGGUGCUUGCUCCUGGUCUCCCAUGCGGAUACUGACACAUGAACACUUUUGGACAGCUGAUUCCAUUUCACUUGGAUCAACACCUAGGAGGGGGAAGUCCAGGUUGUUUAGAACUCUAGGCCUGGAGCAAAAAAGUAUCCCCAUGACUCACUGAAGCACAUUUGCCAUCAUUAAGAUUCCCUAAAGAACACAAUAUCAUCGACCGAUAGAAGGAGGGUCAUCAGCACCACCAACCAGCAGGGGACCAGGACACACACUGAACAUGCUCCUGUCAACCCCAACUUCAUUCCAUAACAGCCUUCAACCCCAACUUCAUUCCAUAACAGCCUUUAGCUCAAACCCUCAGGAAGCCUGGGAAACAAGGGGUAGCUGCUGGCCUCCUUGCUCUGUACUUUGCAAUAAACUCUUCCCCUUUUCCUCCACUCUGGUGUCAGUAGUUGGCUUCUGUGUAGUGGAUGAGCGACUCAGUUUUAGGGGCUCUACAACAAGUCCUCCAAUCAGUUUUGGAGGUGUUCUGUAUCAAUUUCUUUUUUAUUAUUAUUAUUAAAGGUCUUCCUUCUGUUGGUUCACCCCUAAAUGGCCGCUACAGCUGGCACCCUGCACCGAUCAGAAGCCAGGAGCCAGGUGCCUCCUCCUGGUCUCCCAUGCGGGUGCAGGGCCCAAGCACUUGGGCCAUCCUCCACUGCCCUCCCGGGCCACAGCAGAGGGCUGGACUGGAAGAGGAGCACCCAGGAUAAAAUCCGGCACCCUGACCAGGACUAGAACCCAGGGUGUAGGCGCGGCAGGCAGAAGAUUAGCCCAGUGAGCCCUGGCGCUGGCCUGUAUCAAUUUCAAUAUGUAAAAUUUCCACUUUAACUGCUUGUAGGUGCAAACUCUAGUGAAAGCCAGAUACCAGCUGAAAUCUGGAUUGCUAGAGAGACCCAAGAAGGUUGACUGUGGCGAAGACUGAAAAGAAUGAGGCAUUUGGAGCUUCAUUUCUAUCCAAACACAAAUUAGAAUUAAGAUUAUCCAUAUGGUGAUGCAUCUGAUUUUCCCCAAUUACUCUUUCAACCCAAAUAAGAGACAAUGUCUGUGUCUCAACUCUUAAUGAUGUAAUUUCUUACUAUUUUAAGUACAUGUUAUAUGCUCUAUUUUUCUAUUUAUAGCACAUAUAUGUGCAUGUGAUCACUCAUGUGGCCAUAUGGUGGGAUGAGACAGUAAAUCUACUUGAAAAAUUUUAUUUUCCCAGAAUAUAUUCUGCCUUCAGCUAUUUGUGUACCAUAACUCAUCUUUUUACUCUCAGAACUUUGAGAAAGCCUUAAGUAAGCCUAAAGCUCUUGGAAGGCAUGGGAAAUAAGGAAUACAGGAGAAUUAAGUAUAUGUCACCACACUCAAGUGCAACAGAGCUGGACCAGAAGACUCCAGAAGAACAAUGCACAAGGGAACUUCAAUUUUUUUGUGGAAAAAUGGAAUUAAGAGGCAAAUUUAUUUUUGUUUCAAUACAAACUGAACUCCAUGCAUAGUUUUAACAAAGCACGCAUUUUCCUUGAGUGUUUGGAAGACGCUCGUACCUACAGUACUUGGCUCCAGGCUGAACUCUGACAGCCCCUGAGAAAGAACUGAAGAACAGGAGCCAGGGUCAGGUUUAUGCUCUGGUGACCAAAGAGUGCAGUAUUUUAAUGUCAGGGGUCCUCACAUCUUGUAUGAUGUGAAAAUACUUAGAAUCCCAAGCACUAUCUUAUUUAUCACCCAACAAAUCUUUUUAUUUCUCUGAGAGUUUGUUUUUAAUAUGGAGAAAUUGGAGCUUGAGUACAUGUCCAAGUGUAGACUGGACCCCAGCUCUUCAGAUCAACGUCCCAGGCACACACUCACCUCCUCCCACGUCUCCUGUCUCCUCCCAGCUCCAUGUGCUCCUCACCUCCCACUCUAAACUUGCUCCAAGAAAAUGGCCAAGAAAGCUCUUAGUGAGCAGAAGAGAAACUGUAUGUGAGCCAAAGGGAAUAUGAAUAAAGCGUUUUAUCCAAAACGACAGACCUCUGCUGAUUUGUCCGUUCCUUCCCGUAAAAUGUCCGUAAAGAUCACACCGAGCAAGAGAGUGUGAAUCAAGCCCUGGUAUAACCACAGGCACAUCAGAAGUUGCUUAUAGGAAAACCCAGGUAACUUAUUCAAUGGGUAUGUGUUGCUUCUUGGCACAUAUCAGACACAUGGUACAAUAAAUUACAUUCUCAUUCAUACUUGGUACACAGGAAUUUUGGUAAUGGGGGUAGUGAUAUUAGGUAAUUGGCAUGAACACAUAUAGAGUUAUUUAAUGCUUGAAAACUGAUACAUAAGAUAAUAAAACUGGUAUAUAAGAUAGCAAAACUCAGAGUUUUGCACACAUACGGUGCUUGUAAUUUUCAAAUCACAUAUUUAUCUGCUUGGAUUCACACAAUACCAAGGGUGAGAGAAGCAAGUGGUGUGCUAUUUUGCAGACAAAGACACUGAGGUUCAGGGUGCUGAGGACGUACCCAGUAUGCACACAAUUUUACACAUUCUGAGACUCAGGUGUUCCUGCAAUUCACUUUACAGCUUUGU